rnacentral:rRNA from 1 species
UACGUAGGGUGCAAGCGUUGUCCGGAAUUAUUGGUCGUAAAGAGCUCGUAGGCGGUUUGUCGCGUCUGCUGUGAAAACUCGGGGCUUAACCCCGGGCCUGCAGUGGGUACGGGCAGACUAGAGUGCGGUAGGGGAGACUGGAAUUCCUGGUGUAGCGGUGAAAUGCGCAGAUAUCAGGAGGAACACCGGUGGCGAAGGCGGGUCUCUGGGCCGUAACUGACGCUGAGGAGCGAAAGCGUGGGGAGCGAACAGG